CCCAGUCCGGGCCCCGCCCCACGGUGGAAAGAGGCGAUCCCGGUGGCAGGGCAGAGAUGGGGGAAAUCUCUUCCCCGAUCGCUCAGCCCUCUCGGGAGCUCACGGGCGCCACGCCCACGCGCGCUCUGCGGCUUCAGCAGCCCCACUGGCCGCGCGCUCUGUGGGAGCUGCCGCUGGGCGCGGUCGGGAGGCAGCGGGGGGGUGGGGCGGUAUUGGCGCGGGCUGCGCCCAGCUCGGGGAUCCCCGAGUGCUGGACUCUGGUCUGCCGCUUGACUCCACUCCGCAGCUUCUUAGCUGCCACUGCCCCAGUGGCGACACUGAGUAACCCUGCGCUGACCUAGGGAAAAAGAGAAGGCGCUAGCAAGCAGGGUCUUGGACCCAAAGCUGAGCGGCCGCGGGGCUUGCAAAGGAAUUGGUGCGCAGAAAAAUUCAGCCUGGAGCCCUCAGACCACCCACUGUGCUGUGGCGGAGCUGGAUGAGGGAGACUGAACCACCUGGCAGCCUCAGCCUUGUAUGUGUUCCCAGGGCAGGAAGUGACGUCGCCAGCUUUGGAAGAUGAGUACACCGGAAUUCGGUUCUGGACGUUUCCUUCUUGCGAUGCUUGGGAUUGAACCCAGCGCCUUGAGCAUGCUGACCAAGGGCUUUACUGCUGAAAAGACAUCUCGGGCGAUUCCAGAGGCUUCCUCCUCCUCUCUUCCCCAUCCUCUUCCUCCUCAGUACUGAGGAUCACACCCAGCGUUGUGACGUUCCUAGGGAAGCAUGCUGCCACCAAAUUAUGUUUCUGUCCCUGGAAGGCUCUUCUUUCUUAAGAUUUAUUCUAAUUAUCUUUAAUUACAUGCAUGUGUAUGUGUGUGAAUAUGUGCAAGCGAAUGCGGGUGUCUGUGGAGGUCAGAGACAUAAGAACCCCUGAUGACUAGAGUUACAGGAGGCUGUGAGAGGUCCAUUGUGGGCAUUCGGUGCCAAAUCUGGUUCCUCUGAAUGGGCACCCCACACUCUUAACCACCGAGUCACCUCUCCUGUCUGACGUGACCUUUCUUCUAAUAAAAAUUCACUAUGUCCACGGAAUAUGCUGAGAUUCCAUUAGAACUCUACCUGUGUUUGGCACCAUGGAGGCCAAACUCAGAGGAAGUGAGCAAGAGUUCCCUCCAAGAAGGUACUGAGCUCUGUGCCCAGUAAGGUGGUCAGAAACACCAAGUUUCAGACACUUGUCGUUGACAUCAAGUCGGAACAGGUAGACAGGCAAGAGGGGGCCACCCUGCAAGAUUUAUACCUCUGGUCUUUGGACUCCCAGCACUGACUGUCCUUCCAGAAUGGGCUUCAGGAUGACCUUCAACAUCGUCCCAAAGGGCACCGCAGCUGGGUAUGGGGACAUCCGCCUGUAAUCUCAGAACUCAGAAGACAGAGGAGAGAGGACUGCAAAGUCAAGUGUCACACAGUGAAACGGCACCUUCAAUGCUUUUGUAACUUGUAGGGUCUUAGUUUUGUUUGUUUGUUUGUUUUAAGAUAGGGUUUUUCUGUGUAGCCCCAGCUGUUCCAGAAUUCACUGUGUAGACCGGGCUGGCCUCUAAUUCAACAUCAGCUUACCUUUGCCUCCAGGGUGCUGGGAUUAGGCCCAAUGAGUCUUGAAGUUUUUAAUUAACUCAUUUUUCACUAAAAGGUAAUAAUUGAACACCAUAAAGAAUUAAGGAUUCUUUAUGAAUGAUAGGCCUCCUGUUUACACCAGACCCCUGUCCUAUGAUCCGGAGUCAAACAUGGCUGACAUCUUUUAUACAUCCUUUCAGAAACUGCCCAUGCAUACAGAAUCUUUUGUAUACAUGUCUGUCUGUCUGUCUGU